CCGUAGCGCGAGGCGGCGGGGCUGCAGUACGGCGGAGCAGUUUCCUGACUGGCUGUAACUUCCUGAUAUGUGAGAACCCGUGCAUUAGAACUCCAGUCCUGUGGAAGCAGCCACCUUCCAGGACAUUUUUCAGUGACAGGAGGAAGCUUCAUACUGCUCCAGUACGACAAGCCUUCCGCCUGCGCCCCUUCCAUGUUCUGGUGGCUACAGGUGGGGGAUAUGCAGGAUACAAAAAGUAUGAGGGCUACAAGUUGGAACAGCUGGAGAAGAAGGGGGUAGAGUUGCCUGUGAAGCUCGCAAGUGAAUGGGAGGUAAGAAACUUCUGGCAAUUUUGCUUCUGCUGUGUUUGAGGCAAAGCCCCUUUGCUUUCUUUCCAACGAGGGAAUGUGCAGUUCAUUCUCUGUAGCUGAUGCAUUUUUGACAAAUUGUUUCUGUCUUUUAAAUAACUUGCAUUCUUGAGAGAGAACAUAAGGUGUGCAUCUGCAGCAGCUCUGAAGGAUCUGUUGGCUCUGUUUAGUGCAGUGCAAUUUCUUACUUUCCCCACCUUGUGUUGCAUGGUGACAAAUAAAGCACGUAAUAUAAUUUACAGAAUUAAAUACAGAAAUCAAACUAGGCAAGACAGAAAUGACAUGUCAUAGGAUUAAAGAAACAUUUAGUGCUGAGUUGGUCCCAGUAGUCCUAGCUGAAGGUACAGCAUGUGCAGCAUCUGUAGGGUCUUUAUGUUCUCACUGGCUGCUCAGUCUGCUACUCUUGGCAUUUUUCUUGCUUCCCAGUGUCUUCAUGCCUUAUCUACUUUACAAGGAUGCUAAGACAGAAUUAAUAUAUCUAAUUAUAAAUCUGUGGUUUCUUUAUACAUUACAUAAACUUAUGUAUACAUUACAUAUAUAUCUGGAAAGCUUUUUCUUUCUUAGAAAGCACCUACAUCUAUAAUGGAACUUGCUGGCCCAGAGGGUUUUUUGCCUUUUUUUUCUGGAUUCCAAGGAGAUUAGAAAUUGUUGUGAAAUGGCAGUGGGUAUAUUAGAUUUGUGGAUCAAAUACCUAUUGCAGCAUUGAAGUAAGAAGUAUUUCUUAACUGGACAUGACUGCUGUAUUUCCUUCAAAUUCUUAAGGAUAUACAGUACAGCUCAGUGAAAGAGUUUAAAGUAUG